CGCAGGGCGGAGAACCAGCCCUAUAAAGACACCUGCCGCUGGCCGCUCCCCAGGCCCAGCUGAUGGAUGCCCCACGAUGAAGCCACUCCUGGUGUUUCUGCUUCUGGCUGCUCUGUGCACUGACCUGGCCUGUCCCAGCGGCAUCCUGGUCAUGAAGUCCUGCGCCCCGACGUGCCCCAACAGCACCGUGUCCUCCGACGGCCACACCCUCUCCGUCUCCUGCUGUCAGGGCAGCCAGUGUAACAGCAGCGCCGCUGCAGGCCUGCCGGGCAACCUCGGGGCCCUGUGGGCCAGCACCUCGGCCAGCCUGCUGUGGGCGCUGCUCCGGGCGGCCUGGUGAGCCCACCCGCCACAGGCUGGCCCUGGGUCUUGCCUGUUCCUUCUCAGCCUGGACCUGGGCUGCACGGGAGCCAUCUCCAGCUGGUGUGUCCCCACCCCCCCGCACACCUUCACCCUGGCGGGAGGAGCGCCGUCCCCCUGUCACUCCGCCCUGCCUCCCCCCGGGCCACCCCAGCAAUCCCCACCUCUGGGACCCCCUGAUACAGGAAGACCUGUUACCCUCUCCUGGGCUCUCAGGGUCCUCUGAUCACCCGUGAUGGGAAGGGGGCCUCAGUCACCCCAGGACCCUCCAACCCACUCAAGGGCCUUGCUCUGGGGGCCCCUCUCCCUCAGGACCCCCCUUCCAUGCUCCACGGCCCUUGGGCCCCUCCAGCUGCCUUCUGUGCCAGGGGCCGAGGGCUGGGCUUCCCUCCGGCCCACCAGCCACCCCUUCACCCACUGUCCGUGGGUCAGCUAGGGCGCUCAUUCAUCACAGACCCACGGGGCUUCCCUGGGGCUGACGGGGCCCGCCUCACAGGGCCGUCACUCUGGGGCUUGGUGUGCUGAAGUCUGGGGACCACCAGCCCCCCCACCAACCCCCGCGUGCCCACCGUGGGGGAGAGCCGUGCGGACUGGGGGCUGGCCUACCUCCCACCCCCAGGAUAUAGAGGCAGAGGGAAUAAAGCCAGAGCUGCUCUGAGCACGUUCUCUUGCGACGUCGAGGCUGGGCAGGAAGGUUCUC
rnacentral:lncRNA from 9 species